rnacentral:lncRNA from 1 species
GCUCCAGAUGUUUCUUCCCCUUCCUCAGUGGGCUGAGGAGCUUCUGCUUUUUGUUGUGGUUCCAAGCAUAUGUCCAUCUAUCCAUCUGUCAUUUAUGGAGCGCCUGUCAUGUGGGAGGUACUGUGUUUAACAAUAAGAAUCGCGUAAGAGGUUGUUUCCUCUGUCUUUUGUAGCUUAGCAUCUACAUGACACCCUAACUAGUGACUGCUCAAUAAAUGUUGGUCGAAUGAACAGAUGGACCAGUGACUUGUUGGGAGUUACUCAUGAUGCCGUGAGCUGACUUCUUACAUGGAUUUCCUCUACUCUACAGAAGGUGGGCUCCAUGGAGCUGGUUUUCUCUGC